AAAGAAGAAAAAAAUUAAGAAAAAAAUGUCUGCAUUAUUUAAACUAAAUUCAAUGUUCAGCAGAACCGUUAAUAUGGUCUUGGCCCAAUUGCGAGAUCUACUCUUUCUGCCUCUUGACGCACUAGUUUUGGUAACAACAACUCUCUUGCUGAAGCUGCUUCAACAGACUUUCUUCUUCUACGUCUAUCUGUAUAACGGAAUAUGCACUGCGCUACGAGACUCAGAGCAAACUGUGCAAAGUAUUUGGAGCUUGGCCAUACAACUGUCUGUAACGGUUUUAGAAGACUUGCUGCUCGUCGUGAGAGCAGAAUACGGCAGGUACUUUAUCAGAAGCCUUUGAAAUUUUUGUGUUCAUCAUCGCAUUUGCUAUCCAUUUAAC